GGCCCGUUCGUCUAGUGGUUAGGACUCAUGGUUUUCAUCCAUGCAACAGGAGUUCGAUUCUCCUACGGGCUACAA
rnacentral:tRNA from 1 species